rnacentral:rRNA from 1 species
AGAGUUUGAUCCUGGCUCAGAUUGAACGCUGGCGGCAUGCCUUACACAUGCAAGUCGAACGGUAACGCGGGGGCAACCCUGGCGACGAGUGGCGAACGGGUGAGUAAUACAUCGGAACAUAUCCAGUAGCGGGGGAUAACCUAUCGAAAGAUGGACUAAUACCGCAAACGAUCUACGGAUGAAAGCAGGGGACCGCAAGGCCUUGCACUAUUGGAGUGGCCGAUGUCGGAUUAGCUAGUUGGUGGGGUAAAAGCUUACCAAGGCGACGAUCCGUAGCUGGUCUGAGAGGACGAUCAGCCACACUGGAACCGAGACACGGUCCAGACUCCUACGGGAGGCAGCAGUGGGGAAUUUUGGACAAUGGGCGCAAGCCUGAUCCAGCCAUGCCGCGUGAGUGAAGAAGGCCUUCGGGUUGUAAAGCUCUCCCGGUGAAGACGAAACGGUUCAUGCUAAUAACGUGAACUAAUGACGGUACUCACAGAAGAAGCACCGGCUAACUACGUGCCAGCAGCCGCGGUAAUACGUAGGGUGCAGGCGUUAAUCGGAAUUACUGGGCGUAAAGCGUGCGCAGGCGGUUUGCUAAGACAGGUGUGAAAUCCCCGGGCUUAACCUGGGAAUUGCGCUUGUAACUGGCGAGCUAGAGUGUGGCAGAGGGGGGUGGAAUUCCACGUGUAGCGGUGAAAUGCGUAGAUAUGUGGAGGAACACCGAUGGCGAAGGCAGCCCCCUGGGUUAACACUGACGCUCAUGCACGAAAGCGUGGGGAGCAAACAGGAUUAGAUACCCUGGUAGUCCACGCCCUAAACUAUGUCAACUAGUUGUCGGGGAAGAAAUUCCUUGGUAACGAAGCUAACGCGUGAAGUUGACCGCCUGGGGAGUACGGCCGCAAGGUUAAAACUCAAAGGAAUUGACGGGGACCCGCACAAGCGGUGGAUUAUGUGGAUUAAUUCGAUGCAACGCGAAAAACCUUACCUACCCUUGACAUGCUAGGAAGCCCGCAGAGAUGUGGGUGUGCCCGAAAGGGAACCUAGACACAGGUGCUGCAUGGCUGUCGUCAGCUCGUGUCGUGAGAUGUUGGGUUAAGUCCCGCAACGAGCGCAACCCUUGCCAUUAGUUGCUACAUUCAGUUGGGCACUCUAAUGGGACGCCGGUGACAAACCGGAGGAAGGUGGGGAUGACGUCAAGUCCUCAUGGCCCUUAUGGGUAGGGCUUCACACGUAAUACAAUGGUCGGUACAGAGGGCUGCCAACCCGCAAGGGGGAGCUAAUCCCAGAAAGCCGAUCGUAGUCCGGAUUGUAGUCUGCAACUCGACUGCAUGAAGCCGGAAUCGCUAGUAAUCGCGGAUCAGCAUGUCGCGGUGAAUACGUUCCCGGGUCUUGUACACACCGCCCGUCACACCAUGGGAGUGGGUUCCACCAGAAGUAGUUAGCCUAACCGCAAGGAGGGCGAUUACCACGGUGAGAUUCAUGACUGGGGUGAAGUCGUAACAAGGUA